GACGAACGCUGGCGGCAUGCCUAACACAUGCAAGUCGAACGGAGAUUAUUUCGGUAAUCUUAGUGGCGAACGGGUGAGUAACGCGUGGGCAACCUGCCCUCUAGAUGGGGACAACAUCCCGAAAGGGGUGCUAAUACCGAAUGUGACAGCAAUCUCGCAUGAGGAUGCUGUGAAAGAUGGCCUCUAUUUAUAAGCUAUCGCUAGAGGAUGGGCCUGCGUCUGAUUAGCUAGUUGGUGGGGUAACGGCCUACCAAGGCGAUGAUCAGUAGCCGGUCUGGGAGGAUGAACGGCCACAUUGGGACUGAGACACGGCCCAGACUCCUACGGGAGGCAGCAGUGGGGAAUCUUCCGCAAUGGGCGAAAGCCUGACGGAGCAAUGCCGCGUGAGUGAUGAAGGAAUUCGUUCCGUAAAGCUCUUUUGUUUAUGACGAAUGUGCAGAUUGUGAACAAUGAUCUGUAAUGACGGUAGUAAACGAAUAAGCCACGGCUAACUACGUG
rnacentral:rRNA from 1 species